rnacentral:rRNA from 1 species
AGUGAACGCUGGCGGCAGGCCUAACACAUGCAAGUCGAGCGGCAGCGCGGGUGUAGCAAUACAUCUGGCGGCGAGCGGCGGACGGGUGAGGAAUGCGUCGGAAUCUGCCUCUUUGUGGGGGAUAACGUAGGGAAACUUACGCUAAUACCGCAUACGACCUACGGGUGAAAGUGGGGGACCUUCGGGCCUCACGCAGAGAG